rfam:Arthrobacter sp. AK-YN10 contig083, whole genome shotgun sequence.
CGCGGUCCUCGGUAGUGAUUCCCGGGAGGGGCGUCGUUUGACGCUGCAGCCCGUGGAUCUCGAUCGAUGACCGGG